GACAGAGGCCUCAAGCGUUUAGGCGGAAGUCACUGGGCUUAAAGCGUGUGUAGGCGGAUCGUUAAAGUGUCUUGUGAAAUCCCACGGCUCACCCGUGGAACUGCUGGGCAUACUGGCGAUCUUGGGCCAACUAGGGGCAACUGGAACAAGCGGUGGAGCGGUGAAAUGCGUAGAUAUCGCUUGGACGCCAAAGGUGAAAACAGGUUGCUGGGGUUGUGCCGACGCUGGAGACACGGAAAGCCCAGGGGAGGCAAACGGG
rnacentral:rRNA from 1 species